rnacentral:rRNA from 1 species
UGUUGGGCAUAGCCGCGGGAAACUGCGGGUAAUUCCCAGCGACGUCACGAGAUGGCGAUCAUCUUGUGACCAAAGGUGUGAUUCCGCUCUAGGACGGGCCUUCGUGGUAUUAGGUAGUUGGUGAGGUAACGGCUCACCAAGCCGACGAUGCCUACCGGGUGUGAGAGCAUGACCCGGCACACUGGAACUGAGACACUGUCCAGACACCUACGGGUGGCUGCAGUCGAGAAUCUUCGGCAAUGGGCGAAAGCCUGACCGAGCGACGCCGCGUGAGGGAUUGAAGGCCUUCGGGUUGUAAACCUCUUUCGUAGAGGAGGAAGGGGCCGUGAAGAACGGUCUUUGACCUAUUCUAGGAAGAAGCUUGGGCUAAGUUCGUG